UGCGUAGGUGGCUUUGUAAGUCAGUGGUGAAAUAUUACGGCUCAACCGUAAAACUGCCAUUGAUACUGCUUAGCUUGAAUCAGGUCGAGGUGGAUGGAAUAUUACAUGUAGCGGUGAAAUGCUUAGAUAUGUAAUAGAACACCGAUUGCGAAGGCAGUUCACUAGGCCUGAAUUGACACUGAGGCACGAAAGCGUGGGGAUCAAACAGGAUUAGAUACCCUGGUAGUCCACGCCCUAAACGAUGUAAACUCGACGUUAGCGAUACACUGUUAGCGUCCAAGCGAAAGCGUUAAGUUUACCACCUGGGAAGUACGACCGCAAGGUUGAA
rnacentral:rRNA from 1 species